UACGUAGGGGGCGAGCGUUGUCCGGAAUUAUUGGGCGUAAAGGGUUCGUAGGCGGUAAUACAUGUCAGAUGUGAAAUCUUGUGGCUUAACCACAUCAAGCAUCUGAAACUGUAUAACUUGAGUGGAGGAGAGGUAAGUGGAAUUCCUAGUGUAGCGGUGAAAUGCGUAGAUAUUAGGAAGAAUACCAGUAGCGAAGGCGACUUACUGGCCUCUAACUGACUCUGAUGAACGAAAGCGUGGGUAGCAAACAGGAUUAGAUACCCCCGUAGU
rnacentral:rRNA from 1 species